rnacentral:rRNA from 1 species
GGUUAAGCGACUAAGCGUACACGGUGGAUGCCCUGGCAGUCAGAGGCGAUGAAGGGCGUGCUAAUCUGCGAUAAGCGCCGGUAAGGUGAUAUGAACCGUUAUAACCGGCGAUACCCGAAUGGGGAAACCCAGUGUGACUCGUCACACUAUCAUUAACUGAAUCCAUAGGUUAAUGAGGCGAACCGGGGGAACUGAAACAUCUAAGUACCCCGAGGAAAAGAAAUCAACCGAGAUUCCCCCAGUAGCGGCGAGCGAACGGGGAGGAGCCCAGAGCCUGAAUCAGCAUGUGUGUUAGUGGAAGCGUCUGGAAAGGCGCGCGAUACAGGGUGACAGCCCCGUACACAAAAGCGCAUGUGCUGUGAGCUCGAUGAGUAGGGCGGGACACGUGGUAUCCUGUCUGAAUAUGGGGGGACCAUCCUCCAAGGCUAAAUACUCCUGACUGACCGAUAGUGAACCAGUACCGUGAGGGAAAGGCGAAAAGAACCCCGGCGAGGGGAGUGAAAAAGAACCUGAAACCGUGUACGUACAAGCAGUGGGAGCCCCACCACCAAAGCAUUCUCUGGUGUUGAAGGCCCUGCAAAGCAGCAUCGCGGUGGCGGAGCGUCGUUUGCGACGCCCAACACACAAAACAAGCGGUGAAUGCUUUGGGGUGGGGUGACUGCGUACCUUUUGUAUAAUGGGUCAGCGACUUAUAUUCUGUAGCAAGGUUAACCGAAUAGGGGAGCCGGAGGGAAACCGAGUCUUAAUUGGGCGUUAAGUUGCAGGGUAUAGACCCGAAACCCGGUGAUCUAGCCAUGGGCAGGUUGAAGGUUGGGUAACACUAACUGGAGGACCGAACCGACUAAUGUUGAAAAAUUAGCGGAUGACCUGUGGCUGGGGGUGAAAGGCCAAUCAAACCGGGAGAUAGCUGGUUCUCCCCGAAAGCUAUUUAGGUAGCGCCUCGUGAAUUCAUCUCCGGGGGUAGAGCACUGUUUCGGCUAGGGGGCCAUCCCGGCUUACCAACCCGAUGCAAACUGCGAAUACCGGAGAAUGUUAUCACGGGAGACACACGGCGGGUGCUAACGUCCGUCGUGAAGAGGGAAACAACCCAGACCGCCAGCUAAGGUCCCAAAGUCAUGG